rnacentral:lncRNA from 1 species
GAUCCGUACUGCUAUCAAAAUAAUUAUUACCCUCUUGCCUUGCGGCUGCAAAACAUCACAAAGUGACCGACCUGUCUUGAGACUCUUGUGCUGUCUGCCUACCUAGUUAACAAACAUUAACAUCACUUUAGAAGUGGGAAUGUCUGCCAUCUGGAGGUGGAGUUGUGGAGUGACUCUGCUGGUAGUCUGGUGGUCAUGCUGCCUCCAGGCCACAGUCCAGCCUCUUGCCCACGGUUGAGAUGAAUUACACUCUGUCUUUGGUUUGAGGGUCGCACCAAAAAAAUACCUUGUGGCAUCUUUGGUUAGCUGGUAGGUGAAGGCUUUCUGACUUUGCUAGAGAAGGAGGGCUGAGGAACUGUACACCUUGAAUAUGAAACUAAAUGUACUAACCAAAGAAAGGUACUGUCAAGUGUACCAGGCUACUGAGUAUUAACUAACAGGGAUUAGAAAUAGACCCAUGGAAAGCCGCAUUCUCAUAGAUUUGGCCAAUCACAGGAGAGUAGCUUCUUUGUAGGGUGCUUGCUUGUUGUUGCUGGUUCAGAGUGUUCUUAUGUGUUUCUAAUCACAGUGCAGCAGUUCCUUGAGCGAUUCCACUUAUUCAGAGGCAUCGGACCCUCUGGAGGAGGCUAGGACAAAAAUGUGCCAAGGCAGGGAUGAAGAAGAGGUAAAAAUCAACAAUAAUCCAUAUAGGGAAAUGGAUAAAGUAUGCUCACAUAUUUCUCGAAAGAAAUCUUACUGUGUUGAGCUUAUGCUGUCCUGCACCAGAGACAAGAAUAAUUACCAUAAAAAGAAUGCUUAACCUUUCUCAGACCCACAAGGCCCAAAACUGGAUCCCGGUUUUACCCCAUUAUUUCUUCAAUACAAUGACUGCAAAAUAGAACUCUUUCUGUGCCUCAGGUUCCUCAGCUAUAAAAUGGAAAAGUAUAUUAAUAAUAAUAAUAUUAAAAUAAUAAUGGUAAUGUAGUACUUGUUUGUAAAGCACUUUGAGAUCCUUGGUUGGAGGGCACCAUACGAGUGUCAAGUAUUAUUAUGUGGCCAAGGGGGUUAUUUAAAACUCUGGUUCCCACAGGCCAAGAAAGUUUGGCAUCAUUUUUAUUAAAGAUGAGCUGUAGAUAUCUUUACUAAACAGCCUAUAGUGUUGGCUAUGAAGAGACAAGACUAUAACAAGGCUGAUAAGACCAUAGUUUUUUAAUGGCUACCAAAAAGGCACGGGUCACAAUAACAAAUGCUGAAUUCUUUAGGGUGUAAUAUUUGACAACAUGAUUGAUCUGGGGGGGAGGGGUGAAAAACAUCUCAAAAUGCCAAUGUAAAACUGACAGCAAUAUUCACCAGCAGAAAAUGUCUUUCAUAUGGAAUGAUUUCAUGUUGAUAAGAAAAAGCAUUCAAUUUGUAGUCCUGAUUUGAACACCAGACUGUGGGGUAUAAUAGUUCUGUUCUUACAACACAUGGAAUUUUUUUCAUUUUAUUUUAUUUUGUUUUCAUAGUGCAUGUUCAUUUCUACUCACAACAUGUUCUUGGUGUAUUUCUUAUGCAAACAAUCUUCAGGCAGCAAAGAUGUCUGUUACAUCUAAACUUGAAUAAUAAAGUUUUACCACCAGUUAUCCAUGACGGCUUUGGUAUGGUUUAUAUGGAUUUAUUUUCAUCCAGGAAGCAAUAGAAGCUACAGAUCCUUGUAACAUAUCAAUGAGCUCUGAACUUAAAUAAUGAAACUGAAAUCAGGUCGCCUAUUAAAAAAAAUAUCACUACGAUGUAUUAAGCUGGACUCUUUCAACAUGUUUUUUCUUUAACCAAUCUGUUACAGAUAGAUUUUCUGCUAAAAAAUUAUACUAUAUUUUUAGAAAGAUUGAUGAUACUCUUGUUUAUUUCAAAAGCAUAUUAAGCAUCCGACAUUGAGUGUUGCAUAUUGACCUGCUAAUAAUUACCUUCCAGUAUGUAAAUACUUCCUUUUAAGAAAUAUAACUUUGAUUCUAUUCAGUAUACCCAUAUGCAUGUGAUAUGAAGAUCUUGAUAAAUAUCUCAAAAUUAAAUUCAUAUUUUAAAACC